GUAGCAUAAUCAUUUGUCUUUUAAUUGAAGACUAGAACAAAAGAUUAAACAUUUCAAUUAAUAUUCAAAAUUAAUUAUAUCAAUUUAUUCAAGAUGUAAAAAAACAUUUAUAAAACAGGAAGACGACAAGACCCUAUUAAACUUAACUAUAGUUCAACUGGGGCAGUAAAUAAAUUAUUACUUUAAUAUAAAUAUAAACAUAAAAGAUCCAACAUAAUUGAAUAUAUGAUCAAGUUACUAUAGGGAUAACAGCGUAAUAUUUAUUUAAAGAUCUUAUUUAAAUAAAAGAUUGCGACCUCGAUGUUGAAUUAAUAACCUAACUUAUUGUAGUAGAU
rnacentral:rRNA from 1 species